CCAAGCGCAAUAUCAAGCCAUCUCGUGGCAUCAUUACUAGGCUCUCAGCCUCAUAUCAAUCAAGCCACCUCGUGGCGUACAUACCUCAGGCCCUCAGCCUCAUAAUCAAUAUCAAAUGUUUCCUCACAACAUAGGCCCUCGGCCUUACUCAGUCAAAAUCCUCACUAGCUACUCGGGCAAUAGUAAAACAUGAUUCUCAGCCAAAAUAUCAUUUAAAAGAUCAUUUAAGUGUUAAAACAGAGUAAACAUGGCUGAGUACGAAAACAAUGAAAUAUAACAUGACGGAGUUCAAGUAUUAGGUCAAAACAAUGAGGAAAUAUCAAUAAAAGUCCCAUAAGGGUUCAAAUAGUUGGCAUUCACCCCAAAUAUGGCAUUCAGCCCAAAUAAUGAUGAUAGCAAAUAGAUUUCAAUCAAAUACGGAGUAAAAUAGUCAUUCGGGACGGACUAAGUCAUAAUACCCAUCAGUGCACAAUCCCACGCACGUCAUCUAGCGUGUGCGUCCCUUCAAUAUAGCACAACAAUGUGCAAUUCGGGGUUUUGUACCCUCAGAACAUCAUUUAUAAUCAUUACUCACCUCGAACUAGUCCAAUCUCUAGCCUGCGAUGCCUUUUCCCCUCGAAUCGGCCUCUACCCGUGUCGAAUCUAUCCAAAAUCAGAACCACGGCGUCAAAAUAUGCUAAGGGAAUGAAGCCCAAGCGAAAAUAAUCAAUAUACGACACAAAUUCCGAAAUUACUAAAACCCGACCCCCAGGCCCACAUCUCAGAAUUCGAUAAUUUUUACAUCAGUAUAUUCCUUAUCUUCUCACAAGUUCAUGCAUAUCAAAAGUUCUGAAAUCUGACCUCAAAUGAUCCUUCAAAUCCUCAAGCAAAGGUCUAAGUUUUCAAGCCCUAGUUCUUCAAUUUUUGGCUUAAUUUCCAUGAUUAUUUAGGUGGAAUUCACAUUAGAAUCGAGUUUCAAGUCCAAGAAUCUUACCUCCAUGUGAUUCCCUUUGAAUCCCUCUUCAAUCCCCUUCAAAUAGCUCCAAAAAACGACCAACAAUGGAAGAAAUAAACCCCCCAUUUGCGAACAAGAUGACCUUUUAAACCUUCUGCCCAGGCCUGAGAUCCUUCUUCGCGAAUGCGGUCAAAGCCUCGCGUUCGUGAAGCACAAAUUAACUUUGACCAAUUUUUCCUCUUUCGCGAUCGCGACCUCCCUAUCACGAACGCGAUGCUUUGCUCAGACCAACCUUCAUGAUCGUGUUCCACCUUUCGCGAACGCGGUGAAUAAAAAUCCAUUGAAGCUUAGCUGCCCAUUUUCUUCUAUGCAAACGUGACACCACCCCGCGAACACGAUGCACAACCACUUAGCCCUUCGCGAAUGCAAAGGCUUAAAUUCCACCUUCCUCAACUGACUCUUCGCGAAUGCGAGGGUCCACUCGCGAACGCAAGGGUCCACUCGCGAACGCGAAGAGUAAAAUACCUGUAACAGUUGAAAUCAAAAUCUGCAACUCCAAACAUCAAGAAAUGGUCUGAUUGACCACCCAAAACUCCCCCGAGGCCCUCGGGACCUCAACCAAAGGCACCAACAUAUCCCAAAACCUUAUUCAAAUUUGUACAAAUCUUCAAAAUACCUCAAAUAACAUCAAAUUAACCAAAACACAUCGGAUUCAAGCCUAAGUUUCCAAAAUCUUCCGAAUUCCGCUUUUGAUCAAAAUCCCAACCAAACCACGUCCGAAUGACCUGAAAUUUUGCACACACAUCCCAAAUGACACAGCUGAGCUACUGCAACUCUCAGAAUUCUAUUUCGACCCUACCUCAAAAUCUCGCCUACCAACCGGAAAUAACCAAAAUAUCAACUUCGCCAAUUCAAGCCUAAAUCUACUCCGAACCUCCAAACCUCAUUCCGAUCGCGCUCCUAAGUAUCAAAUAACCUCCCGAAGCUAUCCGAACCAUCGAAACUCACAUCCGAGCCCUCUAACACAUAAGUCAAUAUCCGGUUGACUUUUCCAACUUAAGCUUCCUCAAAAGAUACUAAGUGUCUCAAAACUUACCAAAAUCAUUCCGGAUUCAAUCCGACCAACCCGAUACCACAUAAAAUGGAUACACAAACAUAAAGAAGUAGAAAUAGGGGGAAACAGAGCGGUAACUCAUGAGACAACUGGCUGGGUCGUCACACCGCAUAGGAUGAGCGGGUUGGGCAUAGGGGCGCUGGUAACCUCACCUGACCUGGGGAUCAACUCAGGGAACUCAGGAAUUGCACUUGGCGGUUCCCUACCAUUAGACCAGGAUGCUGAUUCUAGCUGCAGAAUAGCCGAUGCCGGGCUAUCCUCAGGACUGAUGAUUGGUAGAUUGCUUGCGGAAGCCAUCUGUGCCUUUGGAUCUUAUGAAGGAGGGAAUGCUAGACUACCAACAAAACCAACCACCAAAACCUGGCUAGUUUGCACACCCAACAACCUUGUUAGUUUUGAGACAUUUAAUAUAUAGGAAAUUGCAUGUUGGAAUGCAAUGCACCUAAAC
rnacentral:lncRNA from 1 species